ACCGCAACGCACCUCGCAUGUGCAACCUCAGGGCUGUCCCAAAGAUGAAGAUAAGUUGGUCUGCAUAUGACACAUUUGAGGCUAAUUUCCGACCUUUAGUAGUAGUAGAGCUUGCAGAAGACACCAAAGAUGAAACCAAGGAAUGGCUGACACAAAAGAUUGUAGACAAGAAGAAAAAUGGAGGAGCCCAGCUUUUGGUUAAACCGUUGAUGGAGCAUGAUAAAAAAUUAGAUGGAAACAAGAACAUAUAUCUUGUUGGAGCAUCUAAUUUAAGGCUUCUUCUGGGAGCUGAAUCAGUAGGAUUGGUGAAAGAAUGCAAUGAUAAUACAAUGAGAGCCUUUACAUAUACCACCAGAAAAACCUUCAAAGAUUUUGCAGAGGACAAUCAUGAUUUCCUUACAAUGGCAGAGUGUCAGUAUAUCAUCAAACAUGAACUUGAAAACCUAAGAGCUAAAGAUGAAAAAAUGAUCCCUGGCUAUCCUCAGGCAAAGCUUUAUCCUGGAAAGUCAAUUAUGCGAAGACUAAUAACCAAUGGUAUUCUAAUUCAGAUUUUUCCACUCCAUGACACAGAAGAAUUAAAAAAACUUAGGCACACCUGGUAUGGACAAUGGAAAUUCAGCUACCAGCCUUUAAAUGAAAUCCGUUGCUAUUUUGGUGAAACAAUUGCUUUUUAUUUUGCAUUUUUGGAGUAUAUCACAUUUGCUUUGAUUCCAAUGGCUAUAAUUGGAAUUCCUUAUUAUAUAUUUGAUUGGGAAGAUUAUGACAAAUAUGUGCUGUUCGCAGGAUUCAAUCUGCUUUGGUCUACUGUAAUCCUUGAACUCUGGAAACGGUGUUGUGCUGUCAUGGCUUACAGGUGGGGGACACUGUUGAUGAAGCGACAGUUUGAGGAACCGAGGCCAGGGUUUCAUGGGGUUUUAGGAAUCAAUCCUAUCACUGGAAGAGAGGAGCCAGUGUACUCGAGCUUCAAAAGACAGUUACGAAUUUAUUUGGUCUCAUUACCAUUUGUGUGCCUUUGUCUUUACCUCUCACUUUAUAUCAUGAUGAUUUACUUUGACUUGGAAUACUGGGCACAAUCAUAUCAUGAAGAGAACCAGUCUGAAUUAAGCAGCUUGUUGUUAUAUGUGCCCAGCAUAAUUUAUGCUGUCGUGAUUGAAGUUCUAAACCGCAUCUAUAGAUACGCUGCAGAGUUCUUAACGUCGUGGGAAAACCAUCGACUAGAAUCUUCAUAUCAGAAUCAUUUAGUCCUGAAAGUCUUGGUGUUCAACUUCUUAAACUGUUUUGCCUCUUUGUUCUACAUUGCAUUUGUCAUGUUUGAUAUGAAACUUUUGAGACAGAGCUUGGCAACUUUGCUGAUAACAUCACAAAUCCUUAAUCAGUGCGUAGAAGCUAUACUGCCUUAUUGGCUUCAAAAGAGACGGAAUAAGCGGGUAAAGAAAAAAGUGAAAGCAUUGGAAAUAGAUGCUGAUCUUUCUUUACUUGAACAAGUCAAUCUGGAAAAGGGAAUGGAUACCUAUUUGGGCACCUUUGAUGAUUAUUUGGAAUUGUUCUUACAGUUUGGCUAUGUGAGCCUUUUUUCAUGUGUCUACCCUCUGGCAGCUGUUUUUGCCGUGUUGAACAACCUCACAGAGAUGUAUUCUGAUGCCUUAAAAAUGUGCAGGAUUUUUAAACGUCCAUUUUCAGAGCCCAUCGCUAAUAUAGGUGUAUGGCAGUUGGCUUUUCAGACUAUGACUGUUAUAUCAGUUGUUACAAAUUGUGUCCUGAUUGGCAUGUCACCCCAAGUAAAUGCACUUUUCCCAGACUCAAAAACUGAUCUUAUUCUGAUCGUGGUGUUGGCAGAGCAUUUGGCACUGGCUCUGAAGUUUCUUAUGUCAUUUGUAAUUGCUGAUAAACCACGAGAUAUUCAGAUAAAAUUGGCAAGGCUAGAAUUUGAAUCUUUGGAGGCCCUCAAGCAGCAGGAUUUCAUGAUUGUGGACAAAUCCUGCUUGAGGCAUUGCAUGAAAAGGCACUUCAGACAGCCUUUUAGAGCUUGGAAUGUCCAAAUGAAGUUGGCAGCAGAGUCUCUGAAAGAAGAACCCACUAAGGCAAUUAAUUGAGCAGCUACAGAAGAACAAUCUCCAGUUCAGCUUGGGUGUUUCUGUACUGCACAGUAUUUUUGAAGUCUUCAAGAAGCUUCCUAACUUGAAGGGACAGUUUAAACCGCUGUGCUGCUGGGCUGGUAGAUGGAAAGGUCGCUGGUUUGAAUCUGCACAACAGGUGAAUCUAGAAUAAAGUCUGAAUAUGUCUCUCACCAUGACAAACUGACUGAUCUGCUGAAAACAACAAAACACAGGAUGGAUAAUUUCUUCAAGAUGUAUGUGGCGGGCUUUGUCAGCCUGUCAUGCACAGCACGUUCUCCCCUUUUUUCCAUAUUUCAGUAAGAAGUAGAGGUCAUACCAAAUGUAAUGGUGGAAAUCCAUGGCCAGAAACUUCCAAGCUUAAAAUGUAAUGGUAGCUAUGAAGGGGCCGGGUGGGGAAGCCACUCAGAUCAAGACUGUGGUGUUGGGAAUGAAGUUUCUCUCUUCUGCUGUGCUGUUUUCCUGGUCUUUCUCCUAUGCUAUUACCUGAUUCAAGAGCACAUUUUCCUUCAGGAGAUAGAUCUUAAACUCAAGGCCCUGCUGCAUGCUGUUAUCACUGAUCAUAAAUAACAGUGGAGAUGCAGCUAGCCAAACCUUUCCAUAGUGUCCCAAGAGAAAAUCAUAUGCCAUGCAAAGUUAGGGACUUGACUGGUGCUGGCUGGUGCAGCUGUUUCUUCCAGAACUGGCUAAGUUCCUCUGUGCUUAAAGCACAGAGAAUGCAAAAAUAUGUUCAGUGAUGUCAUCACUGGGCAUGGCUAUGCCCCAAUAAUGUCAUCAGCUGGUGAAGGGCCAUUUGGUCCCGACCCAAUUAUGGCUAAAUAUCUAUGCCUUAAAAGCAUUGUUCUGCUUUAAAUGAAAAACUCAGUGCUCAGAUUUCCUAUUAGAGUAACAUUUUGUUGUGACAUUUUCUAGGUACAGUAUCAAACAAACACAAAAGAUCAUAGCAACUAUUAUCAUUCUCUAGUUUACUGUUCCCAACUCAUAAAAAUUACUUCAGAACCUGUUCAUUCAUACCAAAAGUCUCGUAAUCUAUACCAAAUGGCUUCAAUUCAGACUGAAUUGAUGUUUUAGACAAGACAUAUCCCACUGAAAGGCUAUUUUCACCUGUACUCUAUCUCCUAUAAAUUGAAUUAAUGCACCAAUAAAAUCAAAUAUUUAAACCAGCUAUUUAGAGUAUUAUUCUCUUUUGUAAUUAGGAGAAUGAAUGGGAGAAAACACAGAACAUCCUAGCAAAGUGCUGGGUUUACCAGUAGGGAAAAUAAAACACUGUAUUAUAACAGUACACAUAGAAGUCAAGCAUGAGCACAGAAGUUUGGGAAAAGAACAUGUUAUCAUGCUUAGAAAUUUACCACAGGCUACUGCAGGCUUCUUGAAAGGUUUUACACCAUUUGAUUUGUUAAUACAAAUAUAUAAAAGGAUUAUGUGAGAAACAUUAUUAAGCACCCUAAGUAUUAUACACAAAACUAUUACCUAUAUGUAUGCAUCAGAAACAUUAUAUACUCCAACUUCUUAAUCUUGCUUAGGUAUUCAAUUAUUGUGCACUUACAUCUCAACAUUAUUACAUAGAAAGGAGAGAAGACAAGUGAUCUGCCCUACAGAAUCUCCUCUCUAAUAUCCAAAGUACCUAGCUCCAAAUUACAAUGCAGUACAAGCAGAGACAAUACAGUGGGAAAUAACGCUGCAAAAUAAAUCUGGCAGGGAGGAGCAAGAGAAUAUGAAUCUCUCUCCUGUGCAUUUCUUUGGAAAAGGACACAAAAGAUAUGUGACAUCAUCUAAGAUCAUGGAACAGAGCAAUGAUGCAAGGGAAUACAUGCAGAAAAUGCUUCUGGGGCAUUGGCAGAAGACUGGAAGUGCAGACUACAGAAUUAAAUUAUUUCAUUGCAGAAAAACAGAGGACUUAUGAGACUACUGGAUAACAGUGCACCUUGUUAGAAAGAGCUCUUUGAGCAUUCUGGAAAGGCUAAAUUAAAGAGAUAUACUACUGUAACCUUUAUUUUUCCAUUAACGAUAUGAGCAAUAGCUUAUUUUGCAUCCCAUGCAGUAAAUUAAUUGAGAAAAUGUUAUAUCACUAAGGGUGCAAGCCUCUACAGGUUUAUACAGGCUUACACUGUAAAGGGCAGGAUAUAAAAGCUUUAAAUACAUACAUACAUACUGGAAAAAGUCCUACAACUCAGCUAGCUAUGCUUACUUUAGGAUGCUGGGAGUUGUAGGCAUUUUUUCUGUACAAUGCACAGAAUCAUACCCUUAGUUACUAUCUAAUGGCAGUAAAGGUUCCUGUUUAUCAAGUUUAUUCUAGUUCUAAAUGGUCUGUUUAGAAAAAAAUCUGGAGUAAUAGUGAUAUUAGGCUAUAUAGUUAAGGAGGACAAAAGCAAUUCCUUUAGCCAUCUAGAUUUCAUUUCUACAGUUAUCUGUUCCAAUUUUUCCAGUAUAUAUAUAUGUGUGUGUGUGUGUGUGUGAGAAUCACAGAAACAGUGCACAAAAUGCUCCUAAGUGCUAUUAUUCAGUUAUAUUUAUUCUCUUUAGAUACUUUGAGUACCACAAAAAACAAUACACAUUUUGUGAAAAUUGAUCUAUGUGAGAAACAGCAUACCAUCCAUAUCUAUGUUCAAGUGUCCAAAGGGGUUGGAGAACAGAUUUAUGGCAGCAAGAUUAGGGGCAUUUUUUUUUCAACAAAUAUUCAGUGCAUUGCUUAGUGAAUAUAUCCAAAACUUUUCUAGAGAUUGAAAAAUAAAUAUUCUCUGCCAAGUUCUUUCCUUCUUUUCCUACUUUUCUACUCCAGAACAUUUAAAAAAAAAGGUAAAUGAGUAGAAUUGCCUGCACUAGAGGGCAGGCUUUAAACAGAUCUUGAUUCACAUCAUUUAAAAAGAAUUCACAUUCAUACCAGGAAACUGUAGCAAAGUCAUAGUUACAGAUCUAACUACCAGAAGGGAAAAUGAAAUAUAUGCAAUCCCUAAAGGAGAUAUAGCUGAUUAAACCUCAAAAUGUAAGCUAUACGAAGUUUCUCCUUCAAGAGUAUUUCAAGGAUGCAGACAAGCAAUAAAACAAUCAUAUGUAUAUCAUUCAUAUGACUUCAUAUAUUGGUAAAGGAACCUAGUGAGACUAAAUCAAGCUGAAUUUCUAGCAUACUAGUCUAUGCAGAAGUUUUCCUUUAAACUGGUCAGUACUAGAAUCACUGUCAGCAGUUUUUAAAAAGGCAUUUUUAAUCUACAAUGUUAGUGGGACUUGAGAUAUUAACCAAAAAAAAAAAAAUGCUCCACAGAUUUGGCAUCUGUAUGAGAAGCUGGCAUAAAGCAUGAAUACAGCUUAGAAAAAUGGCUGUUUGCCAAAGAGAUAAUCAAUACAAUAAUGUGUUUUUGGCAUGAUAACCCUAUGCAAGCACUUCCACGGAAGGCAAGUUACCAGGUUCUUCGCUUUGUGAAAGAAGCAUUCUGCACUAGCAGAAGGAAAGAAAAGACAGCUAAGCUUUCUCUG